ACAGUAGUGUGGAAGGUAUGGGAAGAACUGGAAUGAUGGGCUGAAGGGUAAAUUUGAUCAAAGUACAGUAUGGGAUUCUCAAAUGAAACAAAAAUAAUAUUGAGACUCUUGGGUAAAAAUGACCUGAGUUCUGCAGUGUCCUACAAAUACAUUCUGUUGCAUGCCUACCAAUCUCAGAAGAAAAAAAGUACAACUCGAUAACUCUAUGUGCCAGUGUAAUAAAACCAUUACUAGACUGAUCAUGGUGCCCUCCUCUGUAAUCCCAGCACUCGUUAAUCUGAUGCGAGAGGACUAUGAGCUCGAGGUUAGACUGGACUAAAAGGUGAUACUCUGUCUCCAGGAUGAACGAAUGAACAAGCACUGACUGAAUUACCACCUCCCAUACCCAGUGAGAUGCUAACGAUAUUUACAGUUUUGAGAUUUCAAUUUUUGAGCGCAUUCGAGUUUAAAUGUUUACUAACUUACUUUGGAAGAAAAUUAAAGUUUAAAACAUCUAAUAUAUUUAAAAAUCACUGAUGAGAUAUAAUAAAACCUAUUGGUAGCUUAGAAUUUAACUACUCUGUCUCAAGUCAAUAUGCUUUAUAUAAUUUAAUGAAAGUACUCCACUCCGAAUUCAAAUUUGAGUCGUUGUAUGUAAUUUCCUCCGCUUUUAUUUCUUUGAUGCCUACAUCAGAUAGGCAUGUGUACAAACAUAUAUAUGUAUAUAUGCACGCACAUGUACACAUAUAGGUACACAUGUACACAUAUAUGUACACAUACACACACAUUUGCACACACACACACAUAUGCACACACACACAUACACACAAUUAAUAUUGGCGAUAGGGUUUCAGAUCCCUAUAGCCUAGUGUGACCUGACUUCCCCAGGUAGGCAGGUUGCCUUGAAGCUUACUGCAGUGAAUGUUAGAUAGUACCAUUGUGCUGCAUGGGGAUUGAGGUACCUCACAUCACUUCUCUUUACAGUUUUCAAAACUUACUUAGAGAAAUUGGAUUUCAAUAUUGUUUAAUCUAGGAAUGCAGACAUAAACUUCUGUAAUCACCACAGGUAAUAAUUUUAAUACUUCAAAAACAUGUGACUUCAUGAGAGAAACCGUCAUGAGUUAAAUAGAUUUAUUUAUUGUUUCACGGAUUCAUUUAAUUUUAUGUAACUAAGGAUGGUUUGGAGCUGUUGAUUCUCUUGCCGUUGCCUCCUGGGUAGUCACCACACAUGUCUGGGCAUCAAUAGCAGCUUUGAGUGGACACCAUUAUCAAUUCAGGUUACUACAAAUACUCAGAAAUGUAAAAGCCACAUUGUGACUAUUUAACAGCAGUGCUAUCACAUUAUCAGUUAAAUCGUGUAAAUUAAAUACCUCUUCAUCUGCAUGUCACAAUGUCACAAAUGUGAAAAAUGCUCUCAAGUGUCUUGCAUCGAGGGAGAAGAAAAACGGAAAUUUAACGUUACUGAAUUUCUAAAUCAUUCUCUAGGUUUUUUGGUUUAGCAUUCUACAUCACUCAAAUUAACGCUAUCAUCUUUAUAUUCUUUGUCAUCCAACUUUUAGUUAUGGUAUUUCUUCGGGUCUUUAUGUAACAGAUUUGUACCUAGGAAGUAAUGUAUUCUAGAAUGUUUCUAGCUGCUCAUCUCAAUAGAUGUGGCAAUGUUUAUGCGGCAUCUUUCUUUUGAAUCUUUUAAAAUCUUCCAAGUGUGGUAAACUCUAAAAGAAUGUUCCAUUUUUCUGACCACAGUUUUACAUUGUGCAUAGUACACACAUUUCAGGCUGUUUUCAAUAACUCUUCUAAUAUUUAAUUUCAUACUCAGUCUCGCUCAAUGCAAGUAAGUGUUAACUAGAUAAGUGGUUCCAGUUAUUUGACUUGCAAUUUCAUUUUCAAGGUAAAAACAUUAAAAUUGGCUAUGACUAUGAAGUAAUUUUUGCAGCAACAUAGAAACUGCAUUUUUUUUUCUUCCUCUCUGCAGUCACUCAAAUUUUGUGCUCUGGCUUAAAUCAACCACCUAUUUCUCCUAGGGCGAUGUUUUGUGUUCAGUCAGGACUUCCAACAGAGGUUGGUACAGCAGUUCAGUCAUAUAUUAAGGUAAAUAAAUUAUAUAAAUUUAAUAGAUGAACUUCAAAAUAAAUAAAGGUUAAUAUGGGAUCUGAUAUAGCCACAUACUAACAACUACUUGUUUAAUUUCAUCCAGAUAGGGGGCCAACAUGACAAAUAUUGUAAGAUAGUAUUUACUCUUUGAUACAAGUAUAUAUCUAGUGUUAGUCAAAUUAAUCAUAAGGUCAAUUAAUUUACCUUUUAAUUUUUGAAGCUAUAAUGCGAGACUCUAAACUUCACCAAAUCGCGUGCUGUGCUUUAGCUAAUAGCUCUCUGAUUUAUAUCCUAGAAUAAGGUAAUAUAUUUUACAUUAAAUGUCCAUGGCAUACUCUUGAUUUAGGUUGGAAUAAGUCCACAUGACUUAUACCUUUGGAGUACACCUAAUAUUUACUUAUAUAGUCACAAUAAUAAAACUGUAUUUUAUGAUUUUCUUGACUAAAUUAGCCAGCUGAUUUCCAUUAGAAUAUUUUAGGGUUUGUAUAUUUAAUUGUAGAGCUUCAUUAUUACUCAAUUGUAUCUAGUAUUAUCUGAAUACAGUAUAACUUAGCUAACUCAAUUUUAAGUGAGAGCUUAUUAAUACUGAUUAAAUUUCAGUUUUCAGUACAUUUUGUGCAUGUGUGCAUAUGCGUAUGAGUUCAUAUGUCUCCAUGCAAACACACAGGUGCAUGCAUAUUCAUUAUUAAUAUAAUACAUACAUAAUUUCUGCAUGUCAAAUAAUUUACUAUUAUUAUAUGACAUAAUAUGUUAUUAGAAUUACCUAUGUUACUAUUCCUAUAGGCUUUGGGAAGUUAUCCAUAUUUAAUCAUUUUCAAUGUUUUUAAUUUAAUCUUCCUGAUAUUCCCUUGAAUUGCUUAUUUGAUUUUUGUUCUCAGAAUAGCUCCAUAUUCCUUGGAAUGAAAGCCUAUUUUGCAGACAAAACAAGUCUUAACACUGUACUUUAAUAAGAUUACAAACUAUAGAGUGUAUGGACUGACAUUAGCAUUUAGGUUACCUUUCAGGUUUUCUCAUCAAACUCUAGAGAAUAUCAUUUUGG
rnacentral:lncRNA from 1 species